AAACUCUCCUCACCACUGGGGCUCUUCCUCUGCGACAGAAAAAAAACAGCAAGUGGGCAACGAGUUGAUACCAUUGAUUUGAACCUGCAGUGAUCCAGCAGUGAAAGGUCUGAUUUAUCUUCCCUGGGAGACCGGGAGGCAUAGAGAAUAAUCUACUGCAAGGAGCCCUUGCUGAUCAAAUUGACUGAAGCAUGCUGACAGUCUGCCUGUGUUCCCAGGGGUACCCCGUGACAGAGUGAGGGCGUUGCACAGGGCAGCAGGAGAAAGAUGACAUUAAGUCGAGUGGGAACAUUGAUCUGCUGGAGGUUAGGAAGGCUCUGCAGAGGGAUCUGGACAGGCUGAAUUGAUGGGCCAAGGCCAAUGGUAUGUGAUUCAACAAGGUGAAGUGUCAGGUCCUGCCCUUACGUCACAACAACUCCGUGGAACACUCCAGGCUUGAGACAGAGCAGCUAGAAAGAGACUCAGAGGAAAAGGACCUGGGGGUUGCUGGUCAACAGCAGGUGAGCAAGAGCCAGCAGUGUGCCCAGGUA